CAAGCCUUAAAAUCCAAAGAACACCAAAAUACUUGAUAAGGUGUUAUAAAAAACUUAUAUAUCCUUAUGAGGAAUUUUUUCCGAAGUUCAACAGCUCAUAACUUACGAUCUAACCGUCUAAACAACUCCAAAUUUUACACGGAGUACUGAUAUAUCUUUAGCAACUACCACACCAAAGUUCAACCGUAAAUUCGUCUUGGAUCUUGUGAUAUCUUGAAAACCCUAACUGUAGCUUCAAACCCUAGCUUUUUUACACCCGUGUACAACUUCCUUCAUAUCUCACAAAGUAAUUAUUCAAAUACUAUGAAACUUUGAUCUAAAGCUUCUUAACCCAAUUGCACACACUUGUGGAAAUUUUGAGCCAAAAAUUCGUCCAGAAACUCAAGAUAUGGCUUCACCCAUAACUAGCAACAAAACGAUAUACUUACUGCCUUCAAUUUACAAGUGCUGUCUUCAACGCCUCAUAACUCCUUCACCCAAUCUUAGAAUUCACUAUAUAGUAAGUAGAAUGUGUAGCCGAGAAAAUGCUCCCUCCAAAUCCAGUCGCCGAUCUUCCGUUGCUCUCCGAAUUCGUAUGUGAUGCCCAAAAGAAGUGACAGUAGGUACGAAAUUGACACCUUAUCUUUGAACAUUCAUAUCUUUUCCAUAAAAACUCGAAAUC
rnacentral:lncRNA from 1 species